AUCAACCCCCAUUUUUAGCUUCUCUAAAAUUGAUUCCUUGGUGUAGAUCAACUAUAUUGAAGUCCCUAAGUAGCGUGGAAGAGUUGUUUGAGUCAUCCAACCACUAGUUGUGCCCAAUUUCAAACCCUAACUAUUGAAGGAAGUGAAUAACAAAGACCUUGGGCAGCCCGAAUCAUAGGUUGGGCUUAGCUUGAGUUGGAUCAUAUUGGAGAGCGUUUGAGGUACAGACGCACAGCCUGGUGAUCCACCUGUUUAGGACACCCUUUCUGCUAUUCGGAGUGCUCCUCUCUUUCCGGAGCUUAUACUUUUGGUAUAUAUAUUUAUUAGUGCAUUUGUAUAUAUUCGUUCAUGGGUACGGCGGGGCCCUGUCCCGUCAUACGAUUCUGUCGGUCUGUUUAGAGGUCUGUGGACAUGUUUGUGGGUUAGGGUCUUUCUGUAUGGAUGUAUGUACAUGUCCUUUGGGUGAUCCCAUACGCCGAGGCGGCCGGUCCGCAUAUGUUGUUUGGGCGAUCCUAUACGCCGAGGCGGCCGGUCCGCAUAUGUUUAUAUAUUGCUUGGUUAGCCCUGUGUGGCUUUUGUUGGUAUU